AGAGUUUGAUCAUGGCUCAGAAUGAACGUUGGCGGCGUGGAUUAGGCAUGCAAGUCGCGGGAAUCCAGCAAUGGGGAACCGGCGUAAGGGGCAGUAAUGCGUGGGUAUCUACCCUCGGGUCUGGCAUAGCCCUUCGAGAGAAGGGGUAAUUCCAGAUGAUGUCGUGAGACCAAAGGUCCGCCGCCCGGGGAGGAGCCCACGUGAUAUUAGGUAGUUGGCGGGGUAAUGGCCCACCAAGCCUUAGAUGUCUAGCAGGUGUGAGAGCACGACCUGCGCCACUGGCACUGAGAACUGGCCAGACACCUACGGGUGGCUGCAGUCGAGGAUCUUCGGCAAUGGGCGCAAGCCUGACCGAGCGACGCCGCGUGGGCGAUGAAGGCCUUCGGGUUGUAAAGCCCUGUCGAGGGGGAGAAAAGAGCAAUCUUGAUCUAUCCCUGGAGGAAGCACGGGCUAAGUUCGUGCCAGCAGCCGCGGUAAGACGAACCGUGCGAACGUUAUUCGGAAUCACUGGGCUUAAAGGGUGCGUAGGCGGGUUGCCAAGUCUGUGGUGAAAUCCUCCGGCUUAACCGGAGAACUGCCGUGGAUACUGGCGACCUCGAGGGGGGUAGGGGCUUGCGGAACUGUGCGUGGAGCGGUGAAAUGCGUUGAUAUGCACAGGAACUCCGGUGGCGAAGGCGGCGAGCUGGACCCCUUCUGACGCUGAGGCACGAAAGCCAGGGGAGCGAACGGGAUUAGAUACCCCAGUAGUCC
rnacentral:rRNA from 1 species